GGGUGGAGAAGACCUGGUGAUAAUCCAGUAUAGACCAUGCUGGAAGGCCACAUUGGCAAACAGAAAGAAGCCAACUCCUCUUCACCCUACUCCAUCUCUACCAGGAAGGAUUUCCCUCAUUCUCGGCUGGGAUGAGAGCCUGAGAAACAGAGAAGGAGCAAUUGAGCACUGUGGAAUGGAGAAGAAGAUGCUGGCUGGAACCAAACUCACCAGCAGGGGCUUCCCUGGCUGGCUUUGGGUCUCUGGGUCUGGAGGGACUGCAGUGAGGUGGGCCUGAAACGCUGUCAGUCCCUGCAGAACCUCUGAAGCAGCACACAAAUGGCUCCCCUUGUGCAAGGUGCUGUCAGCUCACAAUCAACUUUCCAGAGGAAGCAACCCUCUCCCAGGCCCUCUGGGACCAAGUUCUGGAUCGCAUGCCCUUUCACAUACAAAACUUUCCUUGGUCCUCCCUACCAUCACCUCUACUUCUCUUUUUCAAGACCACCAGAUUUCCCUGGUGAGCAGUCUACACAGACAGCUGCUUCCCCACGCCUCCUAAACACUCUGCAGUCUGUCUUCACUGCUUUCUACAACUUUCUUCUCCAAAACUUCAACACCCUCCUCUCAGGGCCAGGAACACCCUCUCACCCCACCCCGCCCUUGCUGCGUUCUCAGUGGCCUGGAACUUCGGCCCUCUGUCCCGGGCUCCUCCACUCACACAAACUGCACAGGGAGUGUCCCCAGGGGAGUCUCUCCAAGGUCUCAGCAUUCCUUUCUCUGGAGCUUAUCGCCUUUCCUGGUUUCACCUGCCCUUGGGGACCAAAGAUCCCUCAAGACUCUCACUGCCAGCCAGGGAUUUCUCUCUUCCUCACAGGGCUCAAGCAGAAGCCAUAUUUCAUCUCCCUAUCAAUCUCUGUUUCCAGUCCCCCUGCUCCUUUCCAAAGUAUUCCCACUCUCCAGGACAUUCAGGACUCCAAAUUCCUGUCACUUCUGUCCCCUCCAUCUACUCAUACCUGUAGCUUUAUUGGCUUCAAGACUGGAAUGCCCCCCCCAAACCCACCACACUGUCUGCUGUCCUGCACCAUUUCUUCAUUCCUUAGCGUCCUAACGCUCUUUCUUUUCUUUAUUCCAGUUGAUACCAUUCAAGCUUUCUCCCCACCUCAGUAAAAUUAAAAUAAAUGCUA